rnacentral:rRNA from 1 species
GACGAACGCUGGCGGCGUGCUUAACACAUGCAAGUCGAACGGAAAGACCCUGCUUUUGUGGGGUGCUCGAGUGGCGAACGGGUGAGUAACACGUGAGUAACCUGCCCUUGACUUUGGGAUAACUUCAGGAAACUGGGGCUAAUACCGGAUAGGAGCUCCUGCUGCAUGGUGGGGGUUGGAAAGUUUCGGCGGUUGGGGAUGGACUCGCGGCUUAUCAGCUUGUUGGUGGGGUAGUGGCUUACCAAGGCUUUGACGGGUAGCCGGCCUGAGAGGGUGACCGGCCACAUUGGGACUGAGAUACGGCCCAGACUCCUACGGGAGGCAGCAGUGGGGAAUAUUGCACAAUGGGCGGUAGCCUGAUGCAGCAACGCCGCGUGCGGGAUGACGGCCUUCGGGUUGUAAACCGCUUUCGCCUGUGACGAAGCGUGAGUGACGGUAAUGGGUAAAGAAGCACCGGCUAACUACGUG